UACGUAGGGGGCAAGCGUUGUCCGGAUUUAUUGGGCGUAAAGAGCGUGUAGGCGGCCAAGCAGGUCCGCUGUGAAAACUCGAGGCUCAACCUCGAGACGUCGGUGGAAACCGUUUGGCUAGAGUCCGGAAGAGGAGAGUGGAAUUCCCGGUGUAGCGGUGAAAUGCAUAGAUAUCGUCAAGAACACCGAUAGCGAAGGCAGCUUACUGGGCUGUAACUGACGCUGAUGCACGAAAGUGUGGGGAUCAAACAGG
rnacentral:rRNA from 1 species